AGUAUGACCUGGUAGGGGAGAUACCAUGAUCACAUGAAGGUGUUUUUCCAGUGUAAGACUUAUCCAUCGCACUCCAGAUAUGCUGACCCCUGCAAUUUCCCAAAAUGUGAGAAAACUCAACUGCAUAAGUUGUGAUAGUAGGGGCCUGA
rnacentral:snRNA from 1 species